UGCAAGGUGAUUUUUCCCAGAAGAGAGU
rnacentral:piRNA from 1 species